GGUUGCGAUCAUACCAGCACUAAUGCACCGGAUCCCAUCAGAACUCCGCAGUUAAGCGUGCUUGGGCGAGAGUUGUACUAGGAUGGGUGACCCCCUGGGAAGUCCUCGUGUUGCAACCCC
rnacentral:rRNA from 1 species